GGAAAGUGUUUCCGUGGAUUAUUGUUGAAUAGACCGGACGCAGUCUUCAAAAUUUCUUUUGCAUUGCAUUACUUUGAUUCACAAAGCAAGGAACAAGAGAAUGAAAAAUCCUGAUUUUUCAAUCGAGUGAGGCGUUGAUUUGCUCCCAUCUUUUCAGCUAAAAUACUGCAUCAUUUAUCUGAAUCAUUCAUUAGUUAUACAGUUAAGAAAAUGAUCUAGUUCUCUCUGCUUACCGAUAACAAAGUCAUAAAUUUUCAUCCUUGCGUGACGCAAGCUGCAUCUCCGUUGAUCGUAUUAGCAAACUUAGUAAGGUUUUAGUUUAACUGAUCAGUGAGUCCCAGUUUUGCUUUUGCGUAGGCUCUUCAAACCAUUAUUCAACUAUAUUCAACGUAAGGAAUGGGCCGUGAAAAACAUAGUGAAUUCAGAAAAUAUUUUGUUUGGAGUGAAGCGGAGCAGAAAUUUAAGUGCGUAAUUGAAGGAUGUACAGGGUACGGCUUCAUAAAGGAUCACAUUGGGAAUUUCACCCGUCAUGUUAUGAACAUGCAUUCUGAUAUAGCAAUGGAUCACAUAUUGAAAAUGGCCAAGAUAU